UACGUAGGGUGCAGGCGUUAAUCGGAAUUACUGGGCGUAAAGCGUGCGCAGGCGGUUUCUUAAGUCAGACGUGAAAUCCCUCGGCUUAACCGGGGAACUGCGUCUGAUACUGGAUGGCUUGAGUUUGGGAGAGGGAUGCGGAAUUCCAGGUGUAGCGGUGAAAUGCGUAGAUAUCUGGAGGAACACCGGUGGCGAAGGCGGCUACUCUGGGACGGUACUGGACGCUGAGACGCGAAAGCGUGGGGAGCGAACAGG
rnacentral:rRNA from 1 species